ACCCUCUCCUUCUCCUUUACCCCACCGACGGCUUCUAAGGUAAGAGAGAAGUAAACUCCUUCCUCAUUUCCCUUCACCCGUCGAUCCCAAGGCACACGAAGGAGAGAAAACUUCUCAAGUCUCCUCCUUCACACGAGAGACCUUUCGGUUUCCUCCAAGCCGUGUAAUCUCUUUCACUUCUUCAAGUCGAUUUCUCUCAUUUCGUAAAAACUAAGUUUCUCACUGAAAUUCUUCAAGAAGAUCAACCUCCUUUGAGAUUCCCGAAUUUCUCUUCAUUUCCUUUUUGCUGUGUACUUCUGUGGUUUCAAAAGAGAUCCAAACAGGUAUGAACGAUGAAGCUGCGGAGCCGGGUGCUGCUGAGGAGGGAGGGGCUGAGGUUUAGAGUUCCCGGUUGGUUUGAUUUGGAGGACAAUGAUUAUGUUUUCUUUAUGUUUUUAUUUUGGGUCCCAUGUUGGGACAUUCUGUUGGUUUGACUUUAAAACAAUAUGCCUUUGGGCAACGGUGUAAAUACUAUGGUGGGGUGAUGGUAACGGUGUAUUUUCUAUGGUGGCUAUGGUGGGGUGAUGGUAACCCCACAUAGGAAAGUUAAAUGCCUUUUUGUAUGUGUUAUGGGGACUGAGUCCCCUCUUAAUUAGAACUAGUAUGUUUU